rnacentral:rRNA from 1 species
AAUGAACGCUGGCGGCAUGCCUUACACAUGCAAGUCGAACGGCAGCAUGACCUAGCUUGCUAGGUUGAUGGCGAGUGGCGAACGGGUGAGUAAUGCAUCGGAACGUGCCUUUUAGUGGGGGAUAACGUAGCGAAAGUUACGCUAAUACCGCAUAUUCUCUGAGGAGGAAAGCAGGGGACCUUCGGCCUUGCGCUAGAAGAGCGGCCGAUGUCGGAUUAGCUAGUUGGUGAGGUAAAGGCUCACCAAGGCAACGAUCCGUAGCGGGUCUGAGAGGAUGAUCCGCCACACUGGGACUGAGACACGGCCCAGACUCCUACGGGAGGCAGCAGUGGGGAAUUUUGGACAAUGGGCGCAAGCCUGAUCCAGCCAUGCCGCGUGAGUGAAGAAGGCCUUCGGGUUGUAAAGCUCUUUCGGCUGGGAAGAAAUCGCACCCUCUAAUACAGGGUGUGGAUGACGGUACCAGCAUAAGAAGCACCGGCUAACUACGUG